GGCUAAUAGAAUUUACAGCCUCCUCUUGCCAAUUAACCUUUUCUAUAAAAGCUUCAUAUAACAUCUUAAAAUCUUUUGGAUCCAAUUGCUGCUGAAGAGGAGACCGGUUAAUGAAACGAGGCGCCUCAACACUGCAUGAUAUGUCAUGUGGUUGAUUAAUGCUACCGUGGUUUAUGACGUGAUCUUGUUCUUUGCUUGGAGAAGUAGAGG
rnacentral:misc_RNA from 1 species